GAUGAAGAACGCAGCGAAAUGCGAUAAGUAGUGUGAAUUGCAGAAUUCAGUGAAUCAUCGAAUCUUUGAACGCACAUUGCGCCCUUUGGUAUUCCAAAGGGCAUGCCUGUUCGAGCGUCAUUUGUACCCUCAAGCUUUGCUUGGUGUUGGGCGUCUUGUCUCUAGCUUUGCUGGAGACUCGCCUUAAAGUAAUUGGCAGCCGGCCUACUGGUUUCGGAGCGCAGCACAAGUCGCACUCUCUAUCAGCAAAGGUAUAGCAUCCAUUAAGCCUUUUUUUCAACUUUUGACCUCGGAUCAGGUAGGGAUACCCGCUGAACUUAAGCAUAUCAAUAAGCGGAGGA
rnacentral:misc_RNA from 1 species